rnacentral:rRNA from 16 species
GAUUGGAAUGGCUCCGUACCGAAUCACCGCAGCUGGUCUCUUCGGCUAGACGCCGCUGGUCAACAGUGCAAAUGCAGCUAAGGGAAAUCGGCAAACUGGUUGUGUACCUUCGGAAGAUGCGGUGGCUCCAAGGGCCAGGGUGUCAGGCCUGCCCGUCGGGAUUGCACGGAACCCUCCGGGGCUUGGUUGUCCUGUGCCAGGGCUGGCUUCCCAGCCGUCCUCUGGCCGUGGGCGUCCAGGCCCCACCGUUUUCCCGUGGGCGGGGAUUCCGUGGCACCCACGUGUGGUCUACUCGGAACUGUGUACUACGCAGGGGAAUCUGACUGUUUAAUUGAAACAUAGCUUUGCGAUGGGACCUGCUGGCUGGUUCCGCGAGGUGACUUCUGCCCAGUGCUCUGAUUGUCAAUGCAAAGAGAUUUAGCCAAGCGCGGGUAAACGGCGGGAGUAACUAUGACU